rnacentral:rRNA from 1 species
UACGGAGGGUGCGAGCGUUGUCCGGAAUCACUGGGCGUAAAGGGCGCGUAGGCGGCUUCUUAAGCGUGUGGUGAAAGCUCGGGGCUCAACCCCGAGUCGGCCGUGCGAACUGGGAGGCUUGAGCACUGUAAAGGCAGGUGGAAUUCCGGGUGUAGCGGUGGAAUGCGUAGAGAUCCGGAAGAACACCGGUGGCGAAGGCGGCCUGCUGGGCAGUGGCUGACGCUGAGGCGCGACAGCGUGGGGAGCAAAC